rnacentral:rRNA from 1 species
AUUCAUAAUAACUAAACGUGACGCAUAGCCUUGUGUGGGCGAAAAUCAUUCAAAUACCUGCCUAUCAAGCUUCGAUGUGAGGGUAGUGUCCUCACAUGCUUUUGACGGGUAACGGGGAAUUAGGGUUCGACUCCGGAGAAGGGAGCCUGAGAAAUGGCUACCACAUCCAAGGAAGGCAGCAGGGCGCAAAUUACCCAAUCCCGACACGGGGGAGGUAGUGACAAGAAAUACCGAUACAGGACUCUUUUGGGUCUUGUAAUUGGAAUGAGUACAAUUUAAAACAUUAACGAUAAACAAUUGGAGGGCAAGUCUGGUGCCAGCAGCCGGGUAACUCCAGCUCCAAUAGCGUAUAUUAAAGUUGUUGCAGUUAAAAAGCUCGUAGUUGAACCUUGGUUUGGCUGGCUGGUCCGCCUCACCGCGUGGUACUGGUCUGGCCGAAACUUUCCUCUUGGGGGAACCACAUGCCCUUUACUGGGUGUGUUGGGAAACAGGACUUUUACUUUGAAAAAAUUAGAGUGUCAAAGCAGGCAAUUGCUCGGAUACAUUAGCAUGGAAUAAUAGAAUAGGACGUGUGGUUCUAUUUGGGUUCUAGGAACCGCGUAAUGAUUAAUAGGGAUAGGUCGGGGGCAUCAGUAUUCAAUUGUCCAGAGGGUGAAAUUCUUGGGAUUUUAAUUGAAGACUUAAUUACC